rnacentral:rRNA from 1 species
CCUACGGGGGGCAGCAGUGAGGAAUAUUGGUCAAUGGGCGCUAGCCUGAACCAGCCAAGCAGCGUGAAGGACGACUGCCCUAUGGGUUGUAAACUUCUUUUAUCUGGGAAUAAAGUGCAGUAUGUAUACCGCUUUGCAUGUACCUUAUGAAUAAGGAUCGGCUAACUCCGUGCCAGCAGCCGCGGUAAUACGGAGGAUCCGAGCGUUAUCCGGAUUUAUUGGGUUUAAAGGGUGCGUAGGCGGGUUGUUAAGUCAGUUGUGAAAGUCUGCGGCUCAACCCUAAAAUUGCAGUUGAUACUGGCAGCCUUGAGUACAGGAGAGGUAGGCGGAAUGCGUGGUGUAGCGGUGAAAUGCUUAGAUAUCGCGAAGAACUCCGAUUGCGAAGGCAGCCUGCUGGACUGGAACUGACGCUGAGGCACGAAAGUGUGGGUAUCAAACAGGAUUAGAUACCCCGGUAGUC